UCUUCUUUCUGUCCCAUCUUAGGGAGAUUCUCCCUCAAGCUACUUUCUUCUUCUCUAAUCCAGUGUUUAACACCCACCAGAGGAGCUGCAGUUACCUCAGUGUGGAGCCCGAGACCCUACUCCAGCCUCGCGGUGAUUCUUUCUUCUCGUGGGAAGCAGAUGGAAUUAACAGACCAUCCCUAAUUGUUGUUCCUAAACAAGGUACUGCAAGAUUCAUCAACCUCUUCCCAGAAGCCAGGCUAUACAUCAGACACAAGGGUCAGGAUUUUUUACAACUCCACCAUUAAAAGCCCCUCUUUAUGGAAAAACCGUAUGCUUGUAUGUUUUCAUGUUUCUAAGAGGACAGAAAUAAACUUGGCCCUUGGUGACCCAAAUGAAGUAGAGGAUAUCUCCAUGAGCCCACAGUAACUGCUCUGAGCAGAGUAGUGGAGCGAAAAACAAUCUAACUCCUUGGAAUUGUCACCAGGUCACAUAUGCACUCAGUUGCUCUCUCUCUCGUCCAUGUCCUGACCGACAGAGACACAGAGUCUGGGCCGAAGACCACUGGGAACUUUAAGGAAGACAUCCUCAGGCAGAGGACAGGAGCCGCAAAGGUCAGAGAGAUGAUGGGAAACCCUCUGAUGGCCUCUGGCUCUUGGGGUCUGAAAUUUCCAUCUUAAGAUCAAAAGCAUCAAGGGACAGUCUAGCUGAAAAAGGCCACUUGCCCUAAUUUUGGAAGAGCCUAAAAAUAAAACCAAGGAGGAUUUCUUAGAGAGAUGAUAUGGCCUGAGCUUACUCUUCAUGACAGUAGACAAAUUUAUUCCUCAUUCUCUCUUUUGCCUUAAAGACCUUGGAUUUCUGUUGUUUUUUGUUUGGUUUUGGUUUUGGUUUUUGCUUUGUUGGUAGGUUUAAAGAUUAUUAGUAGGAUUCUUGGAGAGAUUUACAUGAAGCUGUUUUCUUAUUACCAUCAUGAAGACUUCAUUUUCAUUUUACUGCCCUCAGAGUGAACGGACAAAAAUUACAAACUGGCAGCUUGGAGAAGAGAUACAACUGGGACCAAUGAAUAUGGCGCCACUCACUCAGUUUAUAUUUAUAAUGUUUUAAUUUUAAAUGAAAUUUCUGGUUCCUGCGAAAGUGGAAAACUGGCACAGAUUACUGGCUCCCUUCCCCAGAAUCGAACAAGGAAAAGCUUCAAGAGAACAUGAAUUCCAGGAACUAAUGACACCGACAAUAAGAAACUUCUGGGGAGGCAGAGGCAGUGCACCUGAAAGGGUUGGCUGCAGCCUGGGGCAGAAGACUGGCUGGGAGAAACAGGUUAGCGAAAAUUAGCUUACAUUUCCUCUCACCUCUUCCCUACUCCACUUUGAGGCAAUGAUUGCCUUCUGGUCCACCAGGGAAAUUAGUGAACUAGGGGUUUGGGGGGCAACCCAAAUCUCAGCUACAGUUAGAAAUUAAUGAAAAAGGGGCAAACUGACCAGCCUGGAGCACUGACUCCUCCACCCCUUCCCAUAGUCCCUGGCUAUUAAGUUCCAAAUGAUAUGCCCAGCCUGGACCUUGCCCUUGAACUCUGGACUCAUCUAUCCGAAAAUGUCUACUCAUAACUCUCCUUGGAUGUCUAAUAGGCAUCUCAAAGGAAAUGUGUCCUCAGCCAAACUCUUGAUAUUCCCCCCCAUAACCUAUUCCUUUUGCUCUGUUCCCCAUUACAGUAAGUGAUAAUUCUAUUCUUCUGGUGACUGAUUCCAAACCUGUUGGUGCUGUCUUCCAUUUAUAUCUGGAAAAAUUCAUACAAUGGAGAACUAUCCGGCUGUAGCAAAAAGGAAGAUUCGUAUGUACCACUAUGGAGUGAAUUCCAUGAUGCGUAGCUAAGUGAAAAAAGCAAGGUGCAGGAUAAGUGUGUAGUAUUCUACCUUUACCUAAAAAGGAAGGCAAAAAUGAGCAAAUGCAUAUAUUUUCAAAAAUGGAAGAACAAGUUAAAAUGCAAUGAGAAAUGGUUACUUUUAGGAGGAAGGAAGAAGCAAGCAGGUUAGAGGAAACAGGGUUAGAAGCUAAAUGUCUCUGAAUAUACUUUGUUUUUAUAGCUUUUAACUUAGAAACCAUGUAGAUGGUCUACAUAAUUAUAAAAGUUAACUCAAGCUAGGAAAACAUUAAUCCAUGAAAAUUGAAAACAAAGAAUCAAAUAUAUCAAGUUGGUGACUUAACUAUGUAGAGAAGAAUUAAUUCAGUAACUUCAAAAUACAACAAUUUGUACCUUCUUUGUGGAGUAUAGUCUAAAGGAAAAAUAGAAUCGCAAAGUAAUCUUAAAUUGUAUUCAG